ensembl:snRNA U2 U2 spliceosomal RNA
AUCGCUUCUCAGCCUUUUGGCUAAGAUCAAGUGUAGGAAUUCUUUUAUUUUUUUAUUAAUUUUUUCUGAGAGAGAGAGUGUGCACACACG